AAACCAACAGGGAUUGCCUUAGUAACGGCGAGUGAAGCGGCAAAAGCUCAAAUUUGAAAUCUGGCACCUUCGGUGUCCGAGUUGUAAUUUGAAGAAGGUAACUUUGGAGUCAGCUCUUGUCUAUGUUCCUUGGAACAGGACGUCACAGAGGGUGAGAAUCCCGUGCGAUGAGAUGUCUGAUUCUAUGUAAAGUGCUUUCGAAGAGUCGAGUUGUUUGGGAAUGCAGCUCUAAGUGGGUGGUAAAUUCCAUCUAAAGCUAAAUAUUGGCGAGAGACCGAUAGCGAACAAGUACAGUGAUGGAAAGAUGAAAAGAACUUUGAAAAGAGAGUGAAAAAGUACGUGAAAUUGUUGAAAGGGAAGGGUUUGAGAUCAGACUUGGUAUUUUGUAUGUCUUGCUUUCGGGUGGGGCCUCUACAGUUUACUGGGCCAGCAUCGGUUUGGACGGUAGGAUAAUGACAUUGGAAUGUGGCACCACUUCGGUGGUGUGUUAUAGACUUUGUUGAUACUGCCUGUCUAGACCGAGGACUGCGUCUUUGACUAGGAUGCUGGCAUAAUGAUCUUAAACCGC
rnacentral:rRNA from 2 species